UACGUAGGGGGCAAGCGUUGUCCGGAUUUAUUGGGCGUAAAGCGCGCGUAGGCGGCGCGGUAUGUCGUGCGUGAAAUCUCCCGGCUUAACUGGGAGGGGCCGUGCGAAACUGCCGGGCUUGAGGUCGGAAGGGGAAAGUGGAAUUCCGGGUGUAGUGGUGGAAUACGUAGAUAUCCGGAGGAACACCAGCGGCGAGGGCGGCUUUCUGGUUCGAUACUGACGCUGAGGUGCGAAAGCGUGGGGAGCAAACAGG
rnacentral:rRNA from 1 species